GUAGCGAUGGCUGCAGAGGCCCUUGUGGUUAAAAUUUAAUUUUUUUUUUUUUAAAAAGCCACAAAUAAAGGAUGUGGAAACACCUCGACCAGGGAAACGAGCAGGGGACGAUGCGACGCCAAAGCGAAACCCGCUAGGUCCGGCCAAAUUUCGGUCUGGGCUUCCCACAGCCCCCCGUGACUGAGAAAUUGCCGUUGUUGCUGUUAAUUUGCGUUAAUUUUUGUUAAUACGGAUGAAGGCGGCUUUGCCAGCGCAGGAUGUCUGGGGGAAGGUAGAUGUGGCAGCAAACGGCUACGCGGGACCACGAUUCUUCAAUUUCCAGGCACCUCCGGGUGGAGACAGAUGGUUUAUUUACAUCUGGAAGCACGGAAAACAUUUUUUUUUUGCUACUUAAAAAAAUACUUCUGUAUUUUAAAAUACAGGAAAUACAGAAUUCAGCAGCUGCUGAAUCGUGCCCAUAAACCUCUCACAUCCUUAGUGCUGAGUACAGACAGGAGGGUUUUGCCAGACUGGAAGUGUUAGUCCCUCCUAGACAAAUCCAGGUGCUCUUGUGUGACACUGGUGGAAAUGGUUCGUGCUCUCGGUGCCGCCGCUCGUGUCGGGGCUUUGAGAUCUGACGUCAGGUUGGUCUCAAUACCGGGACGCUGAGUGAGGACAAUAACUUUGGGGUAAUAAACGCAGGAGACCAGUCCCAGCCCUUGUCAGCGAUUGUAUAAAUCUGCACAAACUCAUCUUAACGUGGCUCUGAAACCCCGGUUGCAAACCCCAGAGCCGGUUACCUCCGGGCUGGCCCCGUGGAGGGCGGCUUCGAGCUGCUCCGCCGUGGUCGUCGGCGUUUUCCUGUGGGCCACUGGUGGGUUUGGGGGUGAAACCAGGUCACUGUGACCCCCCCACACCCUGUGGCUGCUCCUCUGCGAGCGCUUUGCAGAACCACCGACACCUGAAACCCUAAAGCCACCUCAGCCCCUUUUUUAUUUUGUGGCAUCUGUGAGGUCACGGGGGCUGGACGCCCCUUCUGAGGCUGCACCAUGUUAAAUGCAUCCCGAAAAGUGCAGUUCCCCGAGCGGAGGGCGAGCAGAGCUGCCUCAGCGCCUGCUCCAGGACUCCCCUGGGCUCUCACCAAGCCCCCGUGGGCUGCAGCUCCCCCGGGAUUUGCAUCCGGAUCCCGGGCGUCGUGCUGAGACAAGGCGCAGCCCGAUUUCUUUCUCGAAACGUUUGUGAAGGUGCUGCUAGAAAACACCAGAGACCUCGAGGGACCUUCCGCUUGCUUCUCCCCCGAAGACAACUGGGAGAGGUUUUCCAAACCGGAGGGAAAAAUCAGCUUUGUGUUAAAGCAGCUUAUCCCGUGGAGGUUUGCUGGGAGAGCUUGGGCGGCCGUUGGCAGAGCCGAGGAGCGUCGCACGGGCGGUGGGAAAAGGGGUAAAUCUGGGAAAGCAAUUUGGGAAAUUAUCCGGAUGCAGUGCGGGAGGAUGGCUUCAGCCCCGGCCGACGGAGGAAAAGCUCCCGGGUUUACGGCUGGAAAUGACCCCGGGGUUGAAAAUCCCAACGCUGUGUGUUCAGACAUCAUUUUUCCGGAGCUUUCCUAGGCAAAGCUCAGCAGUUUUCAUCAACUUUUAUAGCGGUGAGGAGCCAGGAGGUGGCACUGGCUGGCAGCACAUUCGGGUCUCGCUCCCUUCAGCAGUUCCUGGCCCUGUUUCAGAGCCUCUUGGCUGCCCUAGAAAAUAAAAUACUUCUACUUUUCAAGGUUGUUGACCCCACAAGCCGGGGUGGGAGGCGGCAGGACUGGCCGUGGCCCCGCGGCUCCGUGGAUGUGGAGGAGGUGGAUGGGUUUGGGCUGUACCUUGCCCCAACAGACUGAGGAGUUUCUCGCCGGGGUUUUUGAAGGUGUGCUCGGGCGAGUUUGGAGUUCUGCAGACCCGAGGAUGUGACCACCGGGAGCUCUGCCCCGUGGGUUGACUCAACCCCCGUUGACUUGCGGGAGCUCCAAGACCACGUUGGGUGCGGCUGGAUCGGGUUCGCUGCCCAUCCUUCCCCAUAAACUCUUCCCAGCGUAGACACACAGAGUGUGGUGCUUGCCUUUUUUUCCCCCCCAGAUGGCCCAAGAGCAUCCUUAAAAACUGAUUUCUCAACCAAAAAACCUCAUUUCUGGCACGGUUUGUGGGGAGCUGGUGAGGAGGGGUUGGAGGGGCUUUUUUUUGUUGUUGUCCAACUUGCUGCACUGCAGAUACUGCUGGUGUUUCUAGAAAAUAAAUAGUAUUAAGAGAAAUUCUGGAAAAACCUAAUCAGGGGAUUUUUUCUAGGUAGCUCUUAGCUUGUAUUUUAUGGGUUUAGCUGCUUAGAAAGAUCCCUUUGACGGGACAAGCAUCAAUACAAGUUCCUUGCAUUUGUUAUUCCCGUUCCGCUAGUGGCCGGCGUGGAAGGUUCGUCCCCAAAUUUAACGUGGUGGCUUGGGAAGAUGGGACGUGGUGGCCCCCCCGAGGUUUUCCUGAAGAAAUGGGGUGGGAAUUAAGGGCAGGAGGAGCCCAGCUCAGGGGUGGAUGGGGCCGGGGUGUUCCUCGUGCUUUCCUGAAGGGUGUUGGUGGCUUCACGCUAGAGACCGAAGGCUGAUUGUUAAGUCAUUUUAUUGGCAGGAGUUCAUAUUUACAACAGAAUAAUAGGAAAUAGGAAAGAAUCUAGCCAUUACAAAGCUCUUCAGUGUUUGCACAGCUUUUACGGCUCGGGAUGGCAAGAUCCAUCUAUUGAAAACUUUGUACACAAAGUCACAACUGUACUAAAAACGGAGGCGGCCGCUUUCGCUCGGAGGAUGUCGUUUCCAACGCGGUGACGAUGUUCUUUUCUUGUCAAAGCCGUCGUGCCUGAAACGAGGGGAAAAGGUGAGGAAGCGGUUGCCACGUCCUACUAUUGUGUUUCAAGGGUGCUUGCUGCGGGACGGGGAUUUUGUGUGCACCUGGGAUGUCAGUGAGCUUCGGGCUCCGGA